UACGGAGGGUGCAAGCGUUGUCCGGAAUCACUGGGCGUAAAGGGCGCGUAGGCGGCCGUGUAAGUCACUUGUGAAAUCCCGGGGCUCAACCCCGGGGCUGCAGGUGAGACUGCGUGGCUAGAGCACGGUAGAGGCGAGUGGAAUUCCCGGUGUAGCGGUGGAAUGCGUAGAUAUCGGGAAGAACACCGGUGGCGAAGGCGGCUCGCUGGGCCGUUGCUGACGCUGAGGCGCGAAAGCGUGGGGAGCAAACAGG
rnacentral:rRNA from 1 species